UGCGAUGUCUGGAGGAAAGAAGGCAGAGCCGGUCCCUGGAAAAAUGCAGGGAUCACUGGAGGACCAAAUUGUGGCAGCCAACCCUCUGCUGGAGGCUUAUGGUAAUGCCAAGACUGUGAGGAACGACAACUCCUCUCGUUUUGGUAAAUUUAUCAGGAUUCAUAA